AGAUGCUGAGAGAGUCUUGGAGAUGCCUGCAAAGGAGAGCUAUCACAAAGUAUAAUAUCAGAGAGAAACACUUUCUGGUUCUCCAGAAAAGCUGAUACGAGACGAUUAAGGUCAAUUAGCCACCAGAGGGAGCCUACAUAGCCCCUUGAAGCUGUUUGUAUCAAAGAUUUCAACAACUUUGAAGAAGGGUGGCAUUAGAAGUUAAGAAACUCACUCUCCAAGGGUAUCUUCAUUGCAAAGAAUUAUUUCAACAAAAAAAAAUAAUCUUUUACUAAUUUUCACCUCAAGAUUCCAAAAUAAUUCCACAUGAUCACCUGUUCUUUUACUUUUUUACACUUUGGGGACACACUAUGAUUAAAUGAUUCAUCUAAAUUCAAACGGCGAGUAUAAUGCAGGGGAAACAGCAAAGUCCGACCUCACUGAUCUUGUGGUCUAGAUACUGGAAUCUUCCAUCUUAACAUCAGUGUCCAGAAACAAUUAUGAGUGCGGGCAGAAAUAAUGAAGUGUUUAUGCAUUCA